UGGCUUUCUUUUUAAGUUCUAUGAGAUAUUUGUUCUUAUUCUAUUUCUUGGUGUUUUAAGAUGCAGAAAUUUCUCAACUUUCUACAUCUAGGGUGCUUUUCAUAUCUAUUGAGUUGUCGCAACAGAAAUCUAUUGUUGUGAUGGGGAUUCAGCAUGGAAAACAAUGGUAGUGGGGCUGCACUACUCAGUUAGAUGGUGGUGAUGUUAAGGGGGAUCUCAGCCGAUAAACAUGGCUGCAAUGAUAAAGCUCAAAGCUUGUGGGGAUCUUUGCUUAGGAUGGGAAUUAAUCCAGAUGUAAUGGUAGUGGACGCAUCAACGAGUGUGGGCAUCAAGAUUUCUGGUGGGUAUAGCUUGGUUUAAAGAUGAGGGUGGAAGUAUUUCUCUCGGGGAGAGGGGAGAGAUGGAUGAUGGGAAUCAUCAAGCUUUGGUGAGGUAUGGGUAUCCUUAUGCGAAGUCUUGUAGGGAUUAGAUCUUUUUAAGGUCUAAUAGGGUUCAGUAGGGUUCAAUUGGAAGCACUGAAGUCCAAUUGGGAAGCGUCAGAGUUGGGGUUCCGGCUAUAAUCUCCGGUCUACAUCUGCA
rnacentral:lncRNA from 1 species